UGAGGAAUAUUGGUCAAUGGGCGAGAGCCUGAACCAGCCAAGUCGCGUGAAGGAAGAAGGAUCUAUGGUUCGUAAACUUCUUUUGCAGGGGAAUAAAGUGCAGGACGUGUCCUGUUUUGUAUGUACCCUGAGAAUAAGGAUCGGCUAACUCCGUGCCAGCAGCCGCGGUAAUACGGAGGAUCCGAGCGUUAUCCGGAUUUAUUGGGUUUAAAGGGUGCGUAGGUGGUUUGAUAAGUCAGCGGUGAAAGUUUGCAGCUUAACUGUAAAAAUGCCGUUGAAACUGUCGGACUUGAGUGUAAAUGAGGUAGGCGGAAUGCGUGGUGUAGCGGUGAAAUGCAUAGAUGUCACGCAGAACUCCCAUUGCGAAGGCAGCUUACUAAGCUACAACUGACACUGAAGCACGAAAGCGUGGGGAUCAAACA
rnacentral:rRNA from 1 species